rnacentral:rRNA from 1 species
AUUGAACGCUGGCGGCAUGCCUUACACAUGCAAGUCGAACGGCAGCACGGGAGCAAUCCUGGUGGCGAGUGGCGAACGGGUGAGUAAAGUAUCGGAACGUGCCCAGUCGUGGGGGAUAACGUAGCGAAAGUUACGCUAAUACCGCAUACGAUCUAUGGAUGAACGCGGGGGAUCGCAAGACCUCGCGCGAUUGGAGCGGCCGAUAACAGAUUAGGUAGUUGGUGGGGGUAAAGGCUCACCAAGCCGACGAUCUGUAGCUGGUCUGAGAGGACGACCAGCCACACUGGGACUGAGACACGGCCCAGACUCCUACGGGAGGCAGCAGUGGGGAAUUUUGGACAAUGGGCGAAAGCCUGAUCCAGCCAUGCCGCGUGCAGGAUGAAGGCCUUCGGGUUGUAAACUGCUUUUGUACGGAACGAAAAGGCUUGGCCUAAUAAGCUGAGCUCAUGACGGUACCGUAAGAAUAAGCACCGGCUAACUACGUGCCAGCCGCCGCGGUAA